ensembl:lncRNA
UCAGGGACUGGUAGCUGGUAUGUACCUGUGAAAGCCCACAGGAAAGGUGGGCCUGAGGGAACAGACCCAAGAGAGUUUGGGUUGUGUUAGGAAUGCCUCUGUUUCCAGGAUUCAGCAGUGAAAAGAUUCAGGCACGUUUUCCACGGACUUGAUGUGGCCCCAUGGGAAAAGGAGUUGGCUUCUAGUUUUCUUGGAAAGAAUCCUGUUCUACCAGCUUUCUGCCAAGAGAAGGGCCCUCUGCUGGAAAAGAUCCAAACCUACCAAGAUGCAGAAUCUAAGCAGACAAUGUCAAGGGAGCUAAGGUUAAAAGAAUCCCCCCAAACUACACGAGUCUCUCAUCAGAGAGAAAAUCAGCAUUUGGAACCUGCUAGGACUUUGAUCCUUAUCCUUGAACUAUUGUAGAGACCAAGGACCAGGGUGGAAAGGUAUCAGAGACAAGAGGUCCCAAAGCAUGGACCUUCCCCAUUAAACUCUCUCCUACCCCCACCCAAUAACUAUGGACAACCUUCCAUCCAACGGUAAACACUAGGGAGAGUAGAGAACUUGGACACCUCAUUGGAGAUGGAUUGGGGUACUGUCUUAGUCCAUUUGUGCUGCUGUCCCAAAAUACCACAGACUGGGUAACUUAUAAAGAACAGAAAUUUCAGCUGGGCGUGGUGGCUCACGCCUGUAAUCCCAGCACUUUGGGAGGCCGAGGCGGGUGGAUCAUGAGGUCAAGAGAUUGAGACCACCCUGGCCAACAUGGUGAAACCACGUCUCUGCUAAAAAUACACAAAUUAACCGGGCGUGGUGGCACUGUAGUCAUAGCUACUUGGUAGGCUGAGGCAGGAGAAUCGCUUGAACCCGGGAGGUGAAGGUUGAAGUUGAGUCGAGAUAGUGCCACUGCACUCCGGCCUGGUGACAGAGCGAGACUCUGUCUCAAAAAACAAACAAAACAGAAAUUUCUUACAUUUCUGGGGUCUGGGGAGUCCAAGAUCAAGGAGGCACUGACACUGCUGUCUGAUAAGGGAUGUUCUCUGCUUCCAAGAUGGUGCCUUACUGUAUCCUCACUGGCAGAAGGCAUAAGAGCAAGAGAAGUAAACUCUCUCUGAAGCCUCUUUUAUAAGGGCAUUAACCCAUUCCCAAGGGCAGGGCACUGAUGACUUAAUCGCUUUCCAAAAGGCCCCACCUCAAUACCACCAUAAUGGGGAUUAAGUUUCAAUACAAAUUUGGAGGGGACACGUUCAAACCAUAGCAGAUAUGAAAGGAGAACCACAUCUGCUGAUAAAGGUGGAAACAAAAAAGACCACUUGAGAAAUUCUGUUCCAGUGGGGCAGUGGGGGACACAUUGUCAUUAUUCCAUUAAAUAUUUUCAAAAGAUCAACGUGGUUGUCUCCACCAAAACAAACAUAAACAACAAACUGGGUGGUAUAAAUGUGAAAAAAGAAGAACAGAGCUCCUAGAUAUUAAGAAUAUGGGACCAGGCGCGGUGGCUCACGCCUGUAAUCCCAGCACUUUCGGAGGCCGAGGCGGGCGGAUCACCUGAGGUUGGGAGUUCGAGACCAGCCUGACCAACAUGGAGAAACCCCGUCUCUGCUAAAAAUACAAAAAAAGUUUAGCGGGGCGUGGUGACGCAUGCCUGUAAUCCCAGCUACUAGGGAGACUGAAGCAGGAGAAUCGCUUGAACCCAGGAGGCAGAGGUUGCAGUGAGCCAAGAUCGUGCCAUUGCACUCCACUCCAGCCUGGUCAACAAGAGUGAAACUCCAUCUCAAAAAGAAAAGAAAAAGAAAAAAA